rnacentral:lncRNA from 1 species
CUGGGUUCUGGGGUUUUGGAAGGAGCCAGAAGGAAGAUGUUCCCCGGGCUCCUACCCAGAUGCUCCUGCUUAUAGGGAGAAACAAGACUCAGAGAAGUCCAAAGAAACUAAGCCGAGAAGCAGACAGCAGAACAAAAUUUCAAGCCCCACGUUCUGCGCCUUCGGGCAACGGCCAUGAAACAAGAGGUCACAGCCGCGGAAUGGCUUGAGCCCCAGCUCUCAUCACAGAUUUCGUUAUGCUCCAAUGGUAGAAACAAAGGGAAGGUUUUGUGUCUCCUGUUUUUAAGGUUGAGAGAGAGCCAUAGAAGGGGACAGAGCUUAAACAAGGCCCCCUCCUGCCUUUCUCCUGCGUAGGCAAUGCUGGCCCAGUGGCCCCAUCCACUGGGUGUCCCUGUGCCCUGGGCUCCUGGAGGAACCCUGCUGACCAGAGGAGCUCCCCGAAAAGCCCACACUCAGCACUUUUCACCCCCUUCCCUUCCCCUUUCACUUCCUGACACUAUUUGGGGCUGUGUCUGCCUCCUCCAAGGGCACAGCGUUCCUCACUCAUCUGGGCGUCCCAGGGUGCCAGGCACGAUGGCCUGCGAUGGGGGCUCACUCUGGUCACUCACCUUUGUAUCCACAGGGAAAUGGGGAAGCUCUGCAAACCCGGGCCAGGGCACAGCUUGGACAAUCUGUCACCAGUGUGCAGAGUCAGCUGAGAAACACAAUCCUGCCCAGGCUUUCUGUGGCUGCGGCCAAGAGGGUAGGGCUGCUGGGCUGAAGGCUGUCAAGUGACUGGGCAAAAAAAGCCAGCCUCAGCCUGCAUGGCCGCAGCAGUCCAUCCUGCAACAGAAUAAUUCCUCUUAGUGGGAACAGGCCUCCCACGCUUAUCACAAAGCGCGGGCUGCCUUUCCAAUGCGGCUGGAGGAGAUUUACAAAAAGAAAAGGAAGUCGCCCUUACAUCUUGGGGAAGUUUAAAGACACCUGGAGAAUGAAAUCUUGGAUUUUACUUUCCUGAAAGGCUGAGGCUAGGCAUAAUUCUCUGCCUUUGUUCCCCUCCUUUGUCUUGGUUAAAUGUUCCUGGCCAUACUGUACCUGUGGUUUUAUUGUCGUCCUUUUUGGGAACAAGCAGGAUAUAAAUCAGUCAGUGAAAUUUUAGAAUGUAGCUCUUUGGUCUAGCAUCUAAGUAGAUAAAGAAGAAACGGGCACUUAAUAAGUGCCUCUG